AAGUCGUAACAAGGUUUCCGUAGGUGAACCUGCGGAAGGAUCAUUAUUUGAUCUGAAUUGGCGGCAUUUGAAAAAUGCAGCCUUUUUGCUUUGUGAACUGUCUUGUACUGUUGUUUUUUUUAAUAGUUGCUUUUUUUCUUCGGAAAAAAAAUAAAGACAACUUUCAGCAAUGGAUCUCUUGGCUCUU
rnacentral:misc_RNA from 1 species